rnacentral:rRNA from 1 species
UACGGGGGGGGUAAGCGUUGUUCGGAAUUACUGGGCGUAAAGGGCUCGUAGGCGGCCAACUAAGUCAGACGUGAAAUCCCUCAGCUUAACUGGGGAACUGCGUCUGAUACUGGAUGGCUUGGAUUCGGGAGAGGAAUGCGGAAUUCCAGGUGUAGCGGUGAAAUGCGUAGAUAUCUGGAGGAACACCGGUGGCGAAGGCGGCAUUCUGGACCGAUAUUGACGCUGAGGAGCGAAAGCCAGGGGAGCAAACGGG